UGGGGAAUAUUGCACAAUGGGGGAAACCCUGAUGCAGCGUCGCCGCGUGAACGAAGAAGGUAUUCGUAUCGUAAAGUUCUGUCCUAUGGGAAGAUAAUGACAGUACCAUAGAAGAAAGCUCCGGCUAAAUACGUGCCAGCAGCCGCGGUAAUACGUAUGGAGCGAGCGUUGUCCGGAAUUAUUGGGCGUAAAGGGUACGCAGGCGGUUUAAUAAGUCGAAUGUUAAAGAUCGGGGCUCAACCCCGCAAAGCAUUGGAAACUGAUAAACUUGAGUAGUGGAGAGGAAAGUGGAAUUCCUAGUGUAGUGGUGAAAUGCGUAGAUAUGAGGAGGAAUACCAGUAGCGAAGGCGACUUUCUGGACACAAACUGACGCUGAGGUACGAAAGCGUGGGGAGCAAACAGG
rnacentral:rRNA from 1 species